GGUUGUGGCCCAGUGGUAGAGCACUUGCCUAGCAUGUGUGAGGCACUGGGUUUGAUUCUCAGCACUG
rnacentral:tRNA from 1 species